GACGAACGCUGGCGGCGUGCUUAACGCAUGCAAGUCGAACGGAGUGGGAACGGGUGAGUAACACGUGGGUGACCUGCCCAUCAGCGGGGAUAACACUUGGAAACAGGUGCUAAACAGAUACUGAUGGAUGGACCCGCGGUGCAUUAGCGAGUUGGUGAGGUAACGGCUCACCAAGGCCACGAUGCAUAGCCGACCUGAGAGGGUGAUCGGCCACACGUGGACUGAGACACGGCCCAGACUCCUACGGUAGGCAGCAGUAGGGAAGCUUCGGCAAUGGACGAAAGUCUGACCGAGCAACGCCGCGUGAGUGAAGAAGGUUUUCGGAUCGUAAAACUCUGUUGUUAGAGAAGCGGUAUCUAACCAGAAAGCCACGGCUAACGACGUGCCAGCAGCCGCGGUAAUAC
rnacentral:rRNA from 1 species